GGGUUAGGUCAGGGGCUCUGUUUUACUCUUGAUAAUGCUUGGGAUCCAGAAAGAGAGUGGGAGGUUGACUAUUAAGCUGGUCUGAGUGAUACUGGGAGAGGGGGACACAGGAGUGUAAUUGCCAUAACCUGCCAUUUAAAGUGAGAGGAAUUUUCCUUUCUGCAAUAACUGAGCUAAGGAUUGAAAGGACUGGUGACAAAACUAUCCCUGUUUAGCAGAGGCUGCCUCCUGGACACUGAUUAUUAAUGUACCUGCAAUUCCUGACAAUCAUCCAAGGGUACAAACUCUACUCUGACCCCAGCAAAAUGAAGAUACUUGAAUCAAAGAAGACAAUUCAAGGACUAGUUAAAGUUUUGUCCAUGGAAAUUCCUACCAGGAAUUAGGUGUGUAUGUUAUAAGGUGGAUCAACUAAGUCCUGUGCCAUUCCUCACAGAUAUCUGGAGGUUCCUGGAAACAAGUCCUGUAAUUAGAGUUGUGCGGAACUAUCCAGGGAAGAUGCUGAUAAGGGAGCCAAGAAAAUAACAGGCAGAAGAGGGGAUCAGACAGUCAUUGCCUUCCUGGUGGCCUGAGCACUGCACUAAGCAACCCACGUGCUGCUCUUCACUGAUGCUUUUCUGAUCCCCCAGAGUUCACGUGUGGGUUUGAAGAGGCAACCACAUGUGGCACAGCUUCUAAGAAAACUACUGUCAGCAAGCUUAUUUUUGGAGUCAUUGAAUGCAAAAGAACCAUAACUUAGAUGAAAUCAUCUGCUAGUGAUCUUGAUGACAGGCAUGAUAAGGCUAAGAAGUAGCUAAUGCUUUGAAAGCUCACGUGCCUCUCAGUGUUUCAUCAGGCAGUUGGCAAAAUAUGCUGCACUAUUUGCAAGAAAUAAAAAAAGAUGUCAAAGCUUGCUAAGGUCAUUGAGCAAAACUGUGUGGAUUUCAGCAUUAUAUAGCUGCACAGACUGCGGGGAGCUGCCAAAUCCGUUCGUCCAACAGAGGUGAUGCUGUCGCAGCUCCAGCUCUUCUCCUCCUCCAUCUCUAAGAAAUAAUCCUCAUCCAGAAAUUACUGAAGCACUGAAGAGAAACCAGCGUCUGGCAUCCAGUACAAGGGAUGAAUAUAAGGUCAAUUUAUUUUGAACUUUCUAUAUGAAGAGUAUCCUGCUCCAGUACUGGGUCAAGUGGCACUCUGCCUGUCUCUAACAUUUUGCCCUACUGCACAAUACUGUCAUUAAACAGAAGAGGCCACGAAGGGCCUGUUUUGCAAAUAACCGUGCACAGAAGUGGCAGGUUCAUACCACCAUCCUAGGAGCACCAUGAUGCCAGACAGCCCUGAGUUAGGGACCUGCUGGACCUUGGUCUGACCCCGGCCUGUGAUGACGGUGUAGUGGGCAGACAGACUUUCUCACCAUGAACCCUGUAUUGAGACUCCUCCUCUUUGCUUUGACCAUCGUUUUCAUGGAUGACACUAUAAAGACACAGCAGGUGUCAAUCAGAAACUCCCUCUAUAGCCAGACAGUGAUCUUAUCUGCUGUGUUCUUCCUGGAAAGAAGAUGUUUUAUGGAGGAGAGCAGACACAUAAGCCAGUCUGAGAUGCAGGUAUAUAUUAAUUUAUGAGAUGUGGAAAAAGGACUGCAUGUUUAGAGACCAGGUGUAUUUUUAUAAAUUGUAAAAACCAUUAAGCUGCAGCUCCCACCUGCUCAAAUUCCCAGCACAGGUAAGUUAUUACAGUUUGUUUUACCAGCAAAGUAGGCUGCAGCAGAGAUGUUAAUUGCUCCCUGUCAUAGAGUGAAUCACUGAUGGCAAUAAAGUCUUCAUGAGUCCUGAAGCGAAGUUCUCUGCUCUAACUUUUGAAUAUGUCAUGCUUAUUAUAAAUUCUAGAACUUUUUCCUUCAAUAUGUUGGACCUCCAGACAUCGGAGCUUUACAACAGCAUUAGUCAUGGAAAGCGCAAGUCUGGGUUUUAGAAUGCAA